CUCCCUCUCCCCUUCCAUUCACAUCAAGAUUCAUUUUCGAUUAUCUUAAUAUACAGAAGAUCAGCUUAGUAUACAUUAAGUAUGGAUUUCAACAGUUUGCUCCCACACAGAAACAUAAAGUGAAAAAUUAUAGAUGAUUUUUUUAAAUGAUGAUGAAAUCAGAGCAGACCUAUUGUCAUGUUUAAUCCCAGUGAGAGUCAAGUUGGGAAUUGAUAAUUUCUUUUUUUUUUUUUUUUUUUUUACAGAGGAUCAGUUUAGUAUGCAUUAAGUAAGGAUUUCAACAGUUUGCACCCCCAUAGAAACACAAAGUGAAAUAUACUGUUUGAGUACUCGUUAUAGCAUUAAAUCUCAAUGUACAGCACAUUAAGGAUAGAGAUCCUACAUGAGGAGUAAGUGCACAGUGGGUUGGAAUCUUAACGCUGGCUAAAGGCUAUCGCCAUUUCAUACAAAGGGAACUGGAGAGGUCUGGAACCACUUGAAGUCACACAGGUGGCAGAGCUGGGGAUCAGCUGCGGUCUGUCUGAUUCCAAAGCCCACCAUUUUUGUUCUCCUGCAGGGCUACCUGGACCCACCGUGCUCUUAUCCUGCUGCCAUCUGAGAUGAGCUGACUUUAUUGAGCCGAAAUCAAGAUUUUCCUCACAUCUCUUGGGAUUCAUAGCUAGGAGGAGUGGAGGUAGGAAGAAAAGCCGAGAAGCGCCGAGACACAGAAGCAGCCCAUGUGACCAGUGACUAAGUCUGUGGACUCUGGAGCCUCAUGUUUUGGAGUUCAAAUUGCAACUUUCUCACUGACUGUUGACUUGGACGAAUUACUUAAACACUCUGUGCAUAGGUUUCCCUAUCUGCAGUAAGGAAGCCGUAAUAAUGCCUCCUCCUUUGUGGAGCUGUUUAGCAAUAUGAAGUCACAAAUAUUACAAAGCAUGUGGAAUAAUGCCUUCCACACAGCAAGUGUUCAGCUCGCGGUUGAAGAUAUUUCAACAUACAUGGCGAGACACUAGUGUUGUGGUUGGACAGCAGGGCGGAAAGCAGCAAGAGAGCAAAUUAAUUAAAAUCCUCAAAAAUAGAGAAAAAUGGCUUAGUGAAAGAGAGAAGAAAGAGGGUGGACACACACAUACUGGCCAACGAGUCGACUGAACGUAUAAGGAGCAAAUGGCAAGCAGUCAGUGGAGGAAUGAGCUGGGGCAGCCCAGAAAGGUCUAGGGAGUGAGUCUCCUUUUUUUCCAGCAGAAGCAGUGCCAGCACUUUCCAAUCUCCAGAGAAACGGACUGUAGAAAAAGGAUUGAAUGGACUCUACAGUAAAUGUCUCGUGAGCACCUGUUAAAUAUGCCAGACUUUAAAUUCUCAAGACUAAUAUAAUCAUUUUCAUUUUACACGUUGAAUCAAAUUCAAAUUUCAACUCUAGGUGGCAGUUUACUCCAUCACUUACUUGGGUUCUGUUAACAAGCAGUAGAUUCAUUCACAGUUUUUCCAUGAAUGCAUAAUUUUGUGUAAAAUUUAGUCCCUGGCUCUUGGUAUCUGUUAAAAAUAGAUUUGAUUUUAGGAAUAAAAUCAUGGCUUGA